CAGCCGCCGCGGUAAUACGGAGGGUGCAAGCGUUAAUCGGAAUUACUGGGCGUAAAGCGCACGCAGGCGGUCUGACAAGUCUGCUGUGAAAUCCCCGGGCUCAACCUGGGAAUGGCAGUGGAUACUGGCAAGCUAGAGUGUGUCAGAGGAUGGUGGAAUUCCCGGUGUAGCGGUGAAAUGCGUAGAGAUCGGGAGGAACAUCAGUGGCGAAGGCGGCCAUCUGGGACAACACUGACGCUGAGGCACGAAAGCGUGGGGAGCAAACAGGAUUAGAUACCCCCGUAGUCCCUGUCUCUUAUAU
rnacentral:rRNA from 1 species